AAAAAAAAAAAGGAUGAUGUAAGGAGCAUUCAUGCGUCAGAGGCUGGCAGCGUGCGUACACAGGAAGUGCCAGAGGCAGCUGGGUACCACGGCAAGAUGAUGAGGAUGGAGUGUGGAGGAAAGAGAUGCCCGAGACACGAGCCCGCCCUGCCCCCCACGAACACACAUCCCCUCCCCAUUAUAGUCCAAUUUUCCUUCCGUCGCCACAUUGCUGGCUCAGCACCAACAAAAGCCUUUCUUUUCCUGGCGGAGGCAAGGUCGAUUAUCACGCCUGCUGCAGGUCAGUGAUGCCACCAAGAAGCAAUGAUGUCACUUGGAAGGCGGCAUUUUGAGCUUUUACCACCACGCCGGACACAACAUUAGGACCAGGAGGCAUGGGUCGGAUCACAGCUGACUCUUCUCACCAUGGACACAAACUACUCUCCCCUCUGCCCUCAGGCAGGAGACUACGGUCAACCCAGACCCAGAUCUGAUAGUUCAGUUACAGCUCAUGUUAUUCUAGUCUGUGUUAUAUGUGUUUUAUGUGGCACGAUUGCGCCAAGUAAAAUUUGUAGUUUGUGAACCCUUUCUCAAACAAUGGCAUUAAAAACUCUUCGGAUUCUGAUUGUAACCCUAACCCUAACACUUAUAUGUCCCCCUGGUGUCCAAAUAACUCUUUGUUACUUUAAUAAGCAACUAAUUAAAAGUGAAUAUGUUCCCUAAUAUUGUAUAAAAACAACACAAUAGAAUGUACUACUCACAAUUCAAGUCCUUUUAUAAAUUAACAUAGUUUUAAUGUAAGAUAAUUAGUUGCCUUGGAGAGUGGACUUCUACGUUAUAUUUUCCAGCUUUUCUCCAUCAGCAACUUUAAUUUUUAACUUAAGAGGUUUUGUGCAUUCGCCUUUUAAGAAUUACAGCCAGGGACAAUUCCAAAAGCCCCAAAACAGCGCCAACUGCCCAGGUGGGCCCCAGCGUGAUUUGUUUUUAAACGGGGCUCGGAAUUUCUAGCAGCACCCCAUGAAUUUCCCACUAAUGUCUUCUCGCACAUUUACUUUCCAUUGCAUCAUUUGAGUCUCAGGCUUCAUGCCCCAAAGACGCGCGAAGGCAUAUUUGAUGUAUAAAUAAGUGUGCGCUCAGAUGUCUCCCUGUCAAAUUAGAGGAGUUCCCUUCCCCCUCCCCUCCCCAUCGGUUCAUGUUAGGUCAGGGGCACAAGCAUGAGAAACAACAGGCCUAAUAGUAAUAACGUUCAGUUAUGCUUGGCACCAAUGAAUCAAUUUAACAGUGUUUGCAGGUCUGCACUCAUCAUUCUGAGAAAUGCAUCUCAUCUUUUAUAAGGUCAUUAAAAUAUUGAAAAAAUACAUCUUAUAUCGUGUUGUAAACCGUAAUUAAAUUGCAUCAUCAGGAUCACCUGCGAGAUAAACGCACAACGUGUGCGUGUGUAGGGGUGGAGGGGGAUGAAUUCCAAGCAGGUGGCCUAUGACAAUAUCUUUUUACAUAAUCUAUGAUCCAUAAGAAAUUCAAAUCAGUGCCCCCAUAAAGCAGCAAUAAGGUGGGAGCCGAUAUGAGUGCCCUUGCCCUUUCCAUAAGGUAUCUAUAUGAAUAUUUAUCAUUCUUCCAAUUUACACAGCACGGCACAUUCAUUUACAAGUUAAUUAAAUGGACGGCUGAAUCUGAUUUACGCGCUUUUAAAAAUGUGUCGCGCCCUCUCAUCCCCCUCCAUUAGGGUCUUUAAAGGUUUCAUCAUUUAGAGAAAAACGGACAGUGUCUAACAUGACAGCGAAGGUAUAAAGGACUAUUCAAAGCGGACAAAACCUCAAUGUCCUGUCAGCGUAGGAACCCUCAAAGUCUUUCAAAGGAGAUCACGGACUUUAUAGUCAAUAUUUUUUAAGCCGUAAACAAACAAACAAAAAGUAAUUGUCCUAGAUCAAAGCGAAUCUACUAUCAAGGAUUCAACUUUUAAUUUGUUUGCAAAAUGUCUUUUUUUUGUUUUUGUUUUACUACAGAUUAUUACAAACAUCCAUCCAUUCAUUUUCU